GAAUUCUCUGGAGUGGGACUGCCCCGACACUAAGAAUGCCCUUCAACCUUUGGUUCAACCUCCUUGUCGUAUUCGUCUUCUGUAAGCAGUGACUAGAACCCGAAUGCUUGCACGAUUUGUUGAUGUGCUGAGCAGUGAGCAUAUUCAACACAGCCUCUCUGAUAUAUCAGUAUCACCAAGCCAAAGCUGACAUGGAAUAUAUCCGUGGUGUACCAGCGAGGAGAACUUCAGUCUCAAUAUUGCAACUCUGUGUGUGUUCUUAAUUAAUUACAUAGUCUAAACUCUUUUGUGUUAUGAACAUGUGUUCCUCUUUAGCCAAGUGGGAAAAUCUUGUGUAAU